CUCUUCUCGCGUUCUGUCUUCUCCUCAUUUCACUCUCGUGAAAACAAAGUUUUUUUUCCUUUUGGCGAUGAAGAUGGCGAUUCGGCUCAUCUCCGAUCUUCCGCCGUAGAUGUCGUCCGGCCGACCAAUCUGAGAGAUAUCACGACCUCCAGCGUUGCGGGAGUUCCACGGGAGGAGGAGAUGCUGAAAUCAACAAGUGGUGUGAGAAAAAGACGGCGAGGAGUACCGGAAAUUGUUGGCUCCGAUUUGUUCCAAUCCUUCUCAAAUCGGUUAAUAUGGAGAUACAAACACAUUGUACAAAGAAGAGCGACAAUAAAACACAUAAUACAAUCCUAUGGGUGUGAUAUCUCGUGAAAAUAGUCAUAAUGUGAGAGGCUUGAGUUCCAAGUCUUUACUAUGAGCGAGAGAAA